GCAGUGAGCCGGAUGACCGCCGCGACGAGCAACCGCGCAAGCGAAGUACUCGGCGGGGAGGAAAGUCCGAACUCCGCAGGGCAGUGCGCCGGGUAACACCCGGGCGGGGCGACCCGACGGAAAGUGGCACAGAAAAUAUACCGCCCGUCUUCGCUCUGGGCGCCCGAGUCGGAACGGCCAUUUGUAACGGGGUCUGUCACGGUCACGAGAUGUCUCCCGUUCGUGACCGUGACAGACCCCGUUACAAAUGGCAGUCGAUCGACAACUCGGGCAUCGAGAGCGAAGGCGGGUAAGGGUGAAAAGGUGCGGUAAGAGCGCACCGCGCGGCUGGCAACAGACGUGGCAGGCCAAACCCCGCACGGAGCAAGACCAAAUAGGGGCGCGCUGGCUUCGGCCAAUCGGACGGCCCGUCCGAUCGACGUGUCCGGGUAGGUUGCUCGAGUCCGUCAGUAAUGGCGGACCUAGAGGAAUGGUCAUCACGCCAGAGCCGGCGCGCCGCAAGGCGCGACGGCGAUGGCGGACAGAAUUCGGCUUACAGGGUCACUGCGGCC
rnacentral:RNase_P_RNA from 1 species